CGUGGGUAACCUGCCCAAGAGAUCGGGAUAACACCUGGAAACAGAUGCUAAUACCGGAUAACAACAGAUGAUGCCUAUCAACUGUUUAAAAGAUGGUUCUGCUAUCACUAUUGGAUGGACCUGCGGUGCAUUAGCUAGUUGGUAGGGUAACGGCCUACCAAGGCGAUGAUGCAUAGCCGAGUUGAGAGACUGAUCGGCCACAUUGGGACUGAGACACGGCCCAAACUCCUACGGGAGGCAGCAGAC
rnacentral:rRNA from 1 species